rnacentral:rRNA from 1 species
AUUGAACGCUGGCGGUAGGCCUAACACAUGCAAGUCGAACGGCAGCACAGUACUAGCUUCUGCAUACGGCUGCCGAGGGGCGGGUAGUGCCUAGAUACCUCCCUGUCUGCUGUUUCUAGCGUGCGAACGCGGGGAAUCUUACGCUAUUAGUCCAGAGGGCCUAAGGGUGGAAUCAUCGGAUCUUCGGCUCUCGGACGAGCCAAGGACCCGAUGUCGGAUUAGCUAGUUGGUGGGGUAAAGGCCCACCAAGGCGACGAUCCGUAGCUGGUCUGAGAGGAUGAUCAGCCACACUGGAACUGAGACACGGUCCAGACUCCUACGGGAGGCAGCAGUGGGGAAUAUUGGACAAUGGGCGAAAGCCUGAUCCAGCCAUGCCGCGUGUGUGAAGAAGGUCUUCGGGUUGUAAAGCACUUUUGUUUGGGAAGAAAAGCAGCAAGUUAAUACCUUGCUGUUUUGACGGUACCAACAGAAUAAGCACCGGCUAACUUCGUG